rnacentral:rRNA from 1 species
AUACGUAGGGGGCAAGCGUUAUCCGGAUUUACUGGGUGUAAAGGGAGCGUAGACGGCAAAGCAAGUCUGAAGUGAAAGCCCCGGGCUCAACCCGGGAAUUGCUUUGGAAACUGUUUAGCUGGAGUGCAGGAGAGGUAAGCGGAAUUCCUAGUGUAGCGGUGAAAUGCGUAGAUAUUAGGAGGAACACCGGCGGCGAAGGCGGCUUACUGGACUGUAACUGACGUUGAGGCUCGAAAGCGUGGGGAGCAAACAGGAUUAGAUACCCUGGUAGUCCGCGCCGUAAACGAUGAAUACUAGGUGUAGGGGGUAUCGACUCCCUCUGUGCCGCAGUUAACACAAUAAGUAUUCCGCCUGGGGAGUACGGCCGCAGGGUUGAAACUCAAAUGAAUUGGCGGGG